GACGUAGGGCGCGAGCGUUGUCCGGAUUUAUUGGGCGUAAAGAGCUCGUAGGCGGCUUGUCGCGUCGACUGUGAAAUCCCGCGGCUCAACUGCGGGUCUGCAGUCGAUACGGGCAGGCUAGAGUUCGGUAGGGGAGACUGGAAUUCCCGGUGUAGCGGUGAAAUGCGUAGAUAUCGGGAGGAGCACCAGUGGCGAAGGCGAGUCUCUGGGCUGAUACCGACGCUGAGGCGCGAAAGCCAGGGGAGCAAACGGG
rnacentral:rRNA from 1 species